GAGAGAGAGAGAGAGAGAAAGAGCAAACAGAACCACAAAACAUGACAAACAAAACGGACUCACAAAAAUAUCUACACAGUUGUCGGAGUGGAGGGACCCCCGCGUGGGAUGAAGCCACGUACCUCGGCGGACCGGAUUUCUGUCCAGGGUCACAGGUGCUUCUGCCAGGGGCGUAGAGCUGGCUUUCCGGAGGACUCCGGGCGGGGGCCGAGGGCCCUGCGGGGCACGCGGGAGCCAGGGGUGUCUCAGAACCGCCACGGGACUUAGAAACACAUCUCCUUGCCGUAGUGUUUAAGUCUAUACGGAAACCUUCCCGAGAGCCUUAAGCGGAUUUUUUUUUUUUUACACCAUAAAGUGAUUAUUAAGCUUUCCUUUUUACUCUUUGGCUAGCUUUUUUUUUUUUUUAAUUGUCUCUUGGAUGACAUUUACACCGAUAACACCAGGCUGCUGUUAAGUCAGGACAGUGGGACCGUAAUUCCCCUCGCAGGAUGCGAACGAAUGAGAUGUAUUAAAAUAAACAUGGUAUAUCCACUAUGCAUCACUUCCUAAAUGUUUCUGGCUUUACGUGUUUCUCCCCUGCCCCGUUUUAUCUCGCUUUUUAAUUUAAGCCAUUUCGAGAGAACUAUGCGUGAACCAAUCGAGUCCGUCCCGGGCCUGCCGCUCCCCGUCCUCGCCGCAGCGAGGUGGCCCUGUGCCAGUAUUUGGACAGAAUCUAAAUUCUUUAUUUUUGGAAAAAGAGAAACCCACCAACAAAACCCAUACACGUGAAAAGUGCUUUGUGGUCACAUUUCUCUAGUUGCGUAACUGAGUCUAGACCCUGUGUCCCGUCACGGGGCCCGUCACCCGGAGGCGCCCCGGGCCGCCCCACCACGAGAGCCUGCGCGGCGAGGCCUGCCCUUGGGAUUCCGGAGCCCGAUGGGACUGGGCCGACAGCGCCAUCCUGCCCGGGGUGCAUGGCCUCUUGGAGACAGAGGCCAGGCGCCCACGCGAGCAGCCAAGCAGAGACGAUGGGCUUCAUCGGGAAGUGAGUUGACUUCGCUGUCCGCGGGCCGAGCCGGUGAAGGCAGGCCGCCCUGUGUCGCCGUGGCCUGCUCUCCCUGAUGGAACGGAGAGGCCGUGGGACUGUCAGGAUCCCUUUGUUGCCUGUGGGGUCUCUGGCGCGAGAGCAAGUGUCGUGCUGUUUGCGUGUUCGUGGGAGAGUUUUUAUAAAGAAUCCUUCAGCA